rnacentral:rRNA from 1 species
GAUGAACGCUGGCGGCAUGCUUUACACAUGCAAGUCGGACGGGAAGUGGUGUUUCCAGUGGCGGGCGGGUGAGUAACGCGUAAGAACCUGCCCUUGGGAGGGGAACAACAGCUGGAAACGGCUGCUAAUACCCCGUAGGCUGUGCAGCGAAAGGAGUGAUCCGCCCAAGGGGGGGCUCGCGUCUGACUAGGUAGUUGGUGAGGUAAUAGCUUACUAAGGCGGUGAUCAGUAGGGGGUCGGAGAGGAUGGUCAGCCACACUGGGACUGAGCCGAGGACCAGACUCCUGCGGGAAGCAGUAGUGGGUAAUUUUCCACAAUGGGAGACCGCCUGAAGGAGCAAUGCCGGGGGGAGGAAGGAGGUCUAGGGGUAAUGAACUUCCUCCCGUGGAGAAGAAAGAGUGACGGUAUCUGGGGAAUAAGCAUCGGCUAACUAUGUG